AAAAAAGGUAAGCUACUAAGAGCGAAUGGUGGAUGCCUUGACUGGUAAAGGCGAUGAAGGACGUACUAGACUGCGAUAAGCUACGGGGAGCUGUCAAGAAGCUUUGAUCCGUAGAUUUCCGAAUGGGGCAACCCAAUGUAUAGAGAUAUACAUUACCUAUAUAGGAGCGAACGAGGGGAAUUGAAACAUCUUAGUACCCUCAGGAAAAGAAAUCAAUAGAGAUUGCGUCAGUAGCGGCGAGCGAAAGCGUAAGAGGGCAAACCCAGUGCUUGCACUGGGGGUUGUAGGACUGCAAUGUGCAAGAGGUGAGUUUAGCAGAACAUUCUGGAAAGUAUAGCCAUAGAGGGUGAUAGUCCCGUAUGCGAAAAACAAACCUUAGCUAGCAGUAUCCUGAGUAGGGCGGGACACGAGAAAUCCUGUCUGAAGCUGGGUCGACCACGAUCCAACCCUAAAUACUAAUACCAGAUCGAUAGUGCACAAGUACCGUGAGGGAAAGGUGAAAAGAACUGAGGUGAUCAGAGUGAAAUAGAACCUGAAACCAUUUGCUUACAAUCAUUCAGAGCACUAUGUAGCAAUACAGUGUGAUGGACUGCCUUUUGCAUAAUGAGCCUGCGAGUUGUGGUGUCUGGCAAGGUUAAGCAAACGCGAAGCCGUAGCGAAAGCGAGUCUGAAUAGGGCGCUUAGUCAGAUGCUGCAGACCCGAAACGAAGUGAUCUAUCCAUGAGCAAGUUGAAGCUAGUGUAAGAACUAGUGGAGGACUGAACCCAUAGGCGUUGAAAAGCCCCGGGAUGACUUGUGGAUAGGGGUGAAAGGCCAAUCAAACUUCGUGAUAGCUGGUUCUCUCCGAAAUAUAUUUAGGUAUAGCGUUGUGUCGUAAUAUAAGGGGGUAGAGCACUGAAUGGGCUAGGGCAUACACCAAUGUACCAAACCCUAUCAAACUCCGAAUACCUUAUAUGUAAUCACAGCAGUCAGGCGGCGAGUGAUAAAAUCCGUCGUCAAGAGGGAAACAACCCAGACUACCAGCUAAGGUCCCUAAAUCUUACUUAAGUGGAAAACGAUGUGAAGUUACUUAAACAACCAGGAGGUUGGCUUAGAAGCAGCCAUCCUUUAAAGAAAGCGUAAUAGCUCACUGGUCUAGUGAUUUUGCGCGGAAAAUAUAACGGGGCUAAAGUAAGUACCGAAGCUGUAGACUUG
rnacentral:rRNA from 1 species